rfam:Jaapia argillacea MTCL 33604 unplaced genomic scaffold JAAARscaffold_10, whole genome shotgun sequence.
GGCCUGCUAGCUCAGUUGGUUAGAGCGUCGUGCUAAUACCUUGUUAAGGGGGAUUUACCCCUACAGCGGGUGACGCGAAGGUCCUGGGUUCGACCCCCAUGUGGGCCA